AUUCAGGCCUCCGCCAGCUUCUAGGCCCUGGGGAUGGUCUUUCACCUCCCUCUUUCUGAUCUCUUUUUCAUGCUCCUCCUUGCUCCAAAGAAAAGCCGGAUGGCAAAAGAGCCCAGAACCUAUUGGAACUGACAAAAUCAAGUCACGGCGCCUACAAAGAUGAGGGGCAGAUUCUGGCUGCCUUUUAAUUUCGUCCUUCACCUGAUAUCUGUGCCAGAGAAUGUGGCAUGGUUCAGUCUUCCAGGAGUUCUGCUACAGAGAAGAGAGUAACCCCCAUCCAUCAUGGCCAAAGCACCCAGUCAGGCUCCGCUCUGGAUCCAGCCCGACAAAUGCAACCCUUGAAUAGGGUUUGUGCAAGCAAACUGGAUGACGACCGAAGAAACCCUGUCGCUUCUGAGAAGACACCCAAUCCAAGAAUGAAAGCAUCAGGUUCAAUACCUAGGAACUCCUGUAGAGGGUGUUGUGGAAUCUUCUUUAAAAGAACAAAACAAGGCAAAACAAAGUUUAAUAGGGUAGAGCAGCCAGGUGUGGUGGGUCAUGCCUGUAAUCUCAGCAAUUUGGGAGGCCAAGGCAGGAUCUCAGCAAUUUGGGAGGCGAAGGCAGGCAGAUCACUUGAGCCUAGGAGUUCAAGACCAGCUUGGGCAACAUAGCAAGACCCUGCCUAUACCAAAAAAAAAAAGUGAACCUAGGAGUAUGAGGCUGCAGUAAGCUGUGGUUGUACCAGUGCACUUUGGGAGGCCAAGGUAGGCGGGUCUUCUGAGAUCGAGAGUUUGAGACCAGCCUGACCAACAUGGAGAAACCCCGUCUCUACUAAAAGUACAAAAUUAGCCGGCAUGGUGGUGCAUGCCUGUAAUCCCAGCUACUCGGGAGGCUGAGGCGGGAGAAUUGCUUGAACUCAGGAGGCAGAGGUUGUGGUGAGCCAAGAUCGCGCCAUUGCACUCCAGCCUGGACAACAAGAGCGAAACUCCAUCACAAACAAACAAACAAUAAACAAAAACCAUAGAGUGAUUUCUGGCCAACAGAGCAAGAAAGAAGUGAACCAAUGAAAACCGGUCCAAGUCUGGGAGUCAAUAUGGAAAAGCUGCCUAAUUAAUGUGGAAGCCCCAGGGAAAUGAUAUACCAUGAAAACCUAACACUACAAAAACUAGUUGUCAGACACAUGUGAGCAGUGAACAGAAUCCUAAUAUGCUGGUUUAACAUUCAAAACUGGAGAGUGUUUGUGUAUCUUCUAAAGACUGUUUGGGGUUUAUUUGUGGAGUUCAGCUGAGUGUCAUCAGAACAAAGAUUAGUGCAAAAAAUCUUUCAGAAAUCAUGCCCAAACAUUUGCAUGCACCUUAAAUAAGAAAUGAAAUAGCAAGAAGAGUAUGUCACAAUAAAGUAUAAAUAGCAAGUGAUAUGUCUCAUCGUACUGAGACAGUUUUAUAAAUGAGGCAAAGGCCUUGUCAAAAAAUAAUGAUGAUUUUCAAAAUUCUGAAACGCAAAGGAGGAAAACUACUUCAUUCAGUUAACAGGAAGCACACAAGAAUCUCCCCAUCAACCAAGAUUUUUUUUUUCUAUAACCCACGCUUUGUAAGACAAUAAUAGCAAAAACUAUAAACUAGAAUUUGUUGAAAGAACAACUUCUAGAAUUUGCCCUUUAUGUGCUGUUUUACCAUUGUCAUGUCUGUCUCUGGUAUGACUUCCUCAUCUAUUAGUAGCCUCCUAAUAAAUUUGAACAAAUGAAUGAAUGAAUAAGAGACAACUAAGCAUGAGGUAUUGCAAGAUGGUAACUCAUCCAGGGAAAAUUAAAACCUGGAGUGGAUCAGAUGGAAAAACAAAAUAAGACACUAGAAAAAAAUCACCAGGAGGGUUUCAAACCAAAAGAUCCCCUGGUUAACCUUCAGCUAAUUAUAAGAUUUAAUUAACUAGAAAAACUCAAUCCUUGUUUAUUCUAUUUAAUUGAGAUUUUACCAUAUUUAAAAUGAUGUUACUCAAGUGUUCUCAUUAAUAUUUAAUGAAAGUGUGAGAGAAUUGGCUAACCAAAUUUACUGUGCUUAGGUAAACUGUAAUUAGGAAGGGUUAGCAGAGCAUCCCAAGGGACCUAUCAAUCACAAAAUGAAGCGAUACAAUUACAGAUGAAUUUCAACAAGGAAACACACAAAACAGUGAUCCUCAAAAAAGAUGGAAUAAAAUUACUUGAAUGUGGUAGUCGGUUCUGAGAAAUGCAAUCAAUCACAUGUCAUUUCAGACAACUCAGAAGGAAUAACCCUACCCAACAGACUUGAACUCUUUGUGUGUGUGUGUGUGUGUGUGUCUGUGUGUGUGAUAGAAUUUCACUCUUGUCGCCCAGGCUGGAGUGCAGUGCGAUCUCGGCUCAC
rnacentral:lncRNA from 1 species